rnacentral:rRNA from 1 species
UACAGAGGUCCCAAGCGUUGUUCGGAUUCACUGGGCGUAAAGGGUGCGUAGGCGGUCGGGUAAGUCUGAUGUGAAAUCUCACAGCUUAACUGUGAAACUGCAUUGGAUACUAUCCGGCUAGAGGAAUGGAGGGGAGACUGGAAUACUUGGUGUGGCAGUGAAAUGCGUAGAUAUCAAGUGGAACACCAGUGGCGAAGGCGAGUCUCUGGACAUUUCCUGACGCUGAGGCACGAAAGCCAGGGGAGCAAACGGG